GAUAAACAUUUGAGUGAGUGGCGGACGGGUGAGUAACACGUGGGUAACCUGCCCUAAAGUGGGGGAUAACAUUUGGAAACAGAUGCUAAUACCGCAUAAAACCUAACACCGCAUGGUGUAGGGUUGAAAGAUGGUUUCGGCUAUCACUUUAGGAUGGACCCGCGGUGCAUUAGUUAGUUGGUGAGGUAAAGGCUCACCAAGACCGUGAUGCAUAGCCGACCUGAGAGGGUAAUCGGCCACACUGGGACUGAGACACGGCCCAGACUCCUACGGGAGGCAGCAGUAGGGAAUCUUCCACAAUGGACGAAAGUCUGAUGGAGCAACGCCGCGUGAGUGAAGAAGGUUUUCGGAUCGUAAAACUCUGUUGUUGGAGAAGAAUGUAUCUGAUAGUAACUGAUCAGGUAGUGACGGUAUCCAACCMGAAAGCCACGGCUAACUACGUGCCAGCAGCCGCGGUAAUACGUAGGUGGCAAGCGUUGUCCGGAUUUAUUGGGCGUAAAGCGAGCGCAGGCGGUUUCUUAAGUCUGAUGUGAAAGCCUUCGGCUCAACCGAAGAAGUGCAUCGGAAACUGGGAAACUUGAGUGCAGAAGAGGACAGUGGAACUCCAUGUGUAGCGGUGAAAUGCGUAGAUAUAUGGAAGAACACCAGUGGCGAAGGCGGCUGUCUGGUCUGUAACUGACGCUGAGGCUCGAAAGCAUGGGUAGCAAACAGGAUUAGAUACCCUGGUAGUCCAUGCCGUAAACGAUGAGUGCUAGGUGUUGGAGGGUUUCCGCCCUUCAGUGCCGCAGCUAACGCAUUAAGCACUCCGCCUGGGGAGUACGACCGCAAGGUUGAAACUCAAAGGAAUUGACGGGGGCCCGCACAAGCGGUGGAGCAUGUGGUUUAAUUCGAAGCAACGCGAAGAACCUUACCAGGUCUUGACAUCCUUUGACCACUCUAGAGAUAGAGCUUUCCCUUCGGGGACAAAGUGACAGGUGGUGCAUGGUUGUCGUCAGCUCGUGUCGUGAGAUGUUGGGUUAAGUCCCGCAACGAGCGCAACCCUUAUUACUAGUUGCCAGCAUUUAGUUGGGCACUCUAGUGAGACUGCCGGUGACAAACCGGAGGAAGGUGGGGACGACGUCAAAUCAUCAUGCCCCUUAUGACCUGGGCUACACACGUGCUACAAUGGAUGGUACAACGAGUUGCGAGACCGCGAGGUUUAGCUAAUCUCUUAAAACCAUUCUCAGUUCGGAUUGUAGGCUGCAACUCGCCUACAUGAAGCCGGAAUCGCUAGUAAUCGCGGAUCAGCAUGCCGCGGUGAAUACGUUCCCGGGCCUUGUACACACCGCCCGUCACACC
rnacentral:rRNA from 2 species